GCUAUUUGCUAGACCUCACACUUCUAAUAAUCAAAAAAUGUUUGGCAUAUGACUUUCCACCAAACAGUUUCAAUUGAUUCUAUUUGUGUCAAAAGAACAAAAGAUACCUUCCUGAGAUGUUGUUAAAUACCAAUGCACAUUGUACAAAUAGAUAAUCUACAUUGUUAAGGAAGAGAUGUAAAAGGUUUAUCAAUCAAUCAAUCAAACUUUGUUUAUAUAGCAUAUUUCAGUCAGGUUAGUGCAGCUUUAAGUGGUUCACAAAAGAUUGACAAUAUAAUAAAAAAGACGGAUAUAAAAAAAUGAAGCACAAAGAAAAGAAGCAAUUUAAACAAUAUAAAACAAUUCAAGACUAAUGCAUGAAGUAAAAUGAUGAAUAAAUCGAAAAAAAUUAAUGAAAGUGUUGAAUAAAAACUUAAUUCAAUAAAAUAUAAAUAUAAAAGAAAAUAUGAAGAGCUGGUACAAAAUAAUCAAAAUGAGUUAAAUAAAAGUUAAAAUGCUUAUGGUAAGAAUAAGUAGUUAUAAUGAUAAGAGAUAUUUAACUGAAAAUAAUUAAAUCUAAAAAUGUCUACAAGACUAUUCUAUAUUAAGUAAAAAGCAAGACGGAAGAUUUAGGUUGUAAGAUUAAGUUUUAACAUCGCAACAAUGACUCUCAGGUCCUCUGGCAGUCUUCUCCAGCGGCGGGAAGAUAAUAGCUAAAAGCUGUUGAAAGACUGCUUACUAUUAGCACCUGAACUUUUUGUUAAUGAGUUUCUUUUGAAGUUUGAAGUUUACAGGGUAAGCAUCCAAGACACUUUUUGUAAGUCUGGCUAGGAUAAAUAUACCUACCGAUUUGAAUAAGUAGGUGAAAUUGCUUCCUGGGCUUCUUUGUUUUGAUACAUGAACCUACUGAUUUUUGUUCAUGUCUAUGGAACGUACCAUCGGGACUGCUUUGUUGAAUUUUACAGGGUGCGUUAUUGAGCCAUUUUUUCAUAACCAUAUGCAAAACCCAUAUUGUAACAAAAUGUUUAGCAUUUCCAAUGUGUUUGCCAAGUUUCAUGAAUCAAACACUAUUUAACAAAACGUUCAUCACAAUCUUAAGUGUCUUUGGACUAAAUUUCAGCUGGUUCUGGUCUUGUAAAAUUGUGUGCAGAUUGGACAAUAUAUAUUCAUAAUAAGUUGGAAGAGGUUCCUUCGUUCAACGCAAAACGUCAAACUUUGAUGCCAUGCCAAGGACAUGCCAUAUAACAAAACCCCAUGAAGAGCAUAAUUUGGUGCAGAUGUAACAACUUCCUGUUUCACAGCAAAACAUUGACAUUUCAUGCAACACAAUGGACACACCGUCUGACAAAAACUCACUAGAGCACAGCUUAUCCUUCAUAAAGAUUUUUAGAUUGCCCUGAACAAAUUUGAAGUCUGAUUUAUCCUCAAGGAGGAGAUCAUUAAAGUAUGAUGUGUGUGAAUCACCAAAAAGGACCACUUAAAGGUUGAGUGUGCAGCCUCUAGUGGUGAAGCUUACAUUGCAGCAAAUGUUAUACUACUUACUUCAUCCAAAGCCUUCCUGAGCAGGAGAGCUACGGUGGCUUUCCUGCGUCAAAAUGCCGACGACCAUAUUAUGCUUAGUCUCCUACGGUGAUGAGGUGUCUUUAGAUCAAUAUAUUUACAAAUUGUUUGUGUAUUUCGUAUGUAAACUGUACUAGAUAGUUUACAUGUAGUAAAUAUGUGACCGCGCUGUGGCAGUGCUUUAUUAUUGAUGUUGGGUAGCUAAAUUAGCUGAAUGCUAGUGCAAGCUAACAUUUACAAACAAAUUAGUAUAGUGUGAAAACAGCGAGACGGCGUUAGUAGGAGACAUAUGUUUUCUUCGUUUACAGACUGAAACAGCUGAGAGCUGUACUGAGGUGAAGAGAAAAGGUGAGGAAGAGGCAGGGGCAGACCAUCUGUGAGGGACAGACGAGGGAUAGCUCCUGGAGUAGCAGCAGCAGCAGUGAGGAGGAGAGAUUAAACCCCUGCAAAAGGACCGAACUUAAGACACUUAUUCAAGAGAUGAGCCUGGAGGAGCACAGGGAGCUGACAGCGCAGGCAUGGUGACCGCCUUUUGCUAGAGUGACAUGAUGUACUUGUGGUAACUGUAGGGAUAGACCUUUCAGACCGUGAGAGGAUCUACCAACACUCUUCUCCCAUUACCGGGUUGACAUUUUUUUUAGAACUAGCCUGCGGAUGACAACAGGGAGUACCAGUGUGCAGCAUAUCAGCAUUACAUUUUCUGGCCACAUGGCUCUUUAGAUCGGCAAAACCGUAUUUGUAUUACCUUAUGAUUUUUGUACCACAGGGACUGCUUUGUUGAAAUUUUACAGGGGCUGUUAUCUUAUCUUGUCUUUAUCUUUGUAUUUAUGUAGCGCUUUUCUUGUCUUGAUAAUGCUCAAAGCGCUUUAGAGUACAGUUUGCCAUUCACCCAUUCACACGCGUUCAUACAGUAGAUAUAUUAGCAGCUUUUCUUUGUUUCUAUGAGGGGCAAAUGAGGGUUCAGCACCUUGCCCAAAAAGACUGGGGAUCAAACUAUCGACCUUCUGGUCUACCCACCCUACCCCUCAGCCACAGCCGCCCUUUACUUAUCAACCUAUAAGUAGAAGCAGGGAACUUGUUCCUCUGGAACCAUAAUACAGUACCACACAGAUAAUAGUGUGGUUACGUAAGCAUGCAUGAGUAGAGAUAACACAUAGUAUAGUAUGAUAAUAUAUAAUUUUCCAUUACAAUAUCAUCAAGGAUAUAAUUAUGGUUAUUAUUUUGUUUCUGUUCCCAUUUUACUUUAAUUGUUUUUUUUAUUACAAUUUUUAUACAUUUGCUGUGCAAUUACUUAUUUUCCAAUGAAUAUAUUCCUGUUGCCCAUCAUAAAUGUUUGUUCAGUUGAGUUUACACUGGAAUGAAAAGAGCAAUAAUAAAAAGGGAAUUAACCAGA